UGGGGAAUAUUGCACAAUGGGCGAAAGCCUGAUGCAGCGACGCCGCGUGAGGGAUGGAGGCCUUCGGGUUGUAAACCUCUUUCGCUCAUGGUCAAGCCGCAACACUUGGUUGUGGUGAGGGUAGUGGGUAAAGAAGCGCCGGCUAACUACGUGCCAGCAGCCGCGGUAAUACGUAGGGCGCGAGCGUUGUCCGGAAUUAUUGGGCGUAAAGGGCUUGUAGGCGGUUGGUCGCGUCUGCCGUGAAAUCCUCUGGCUUAACUGGGGGCGUGCGGUGGGUACGGGCUGACUUGAGUGCGGUAGGGGAGACUGGAACUCCUGGUGUAGCGGUGGAAUGCGCAGAUAUCAGGAAGAACACCGGUGGCGAAGGCGGGUCUCUGGGCCGUUACUGACGCUGAGGAGCGAAAGCGUGGGGAGCGAACAGGAUUAGAUACCCUGGUAGUCCACGCUGUAAACGUUGGGCACUAGGUGUGGGGGCCACCCGUGGUUUCUGCGCCGUAGCUAACGCUUUAAGUGCCCCGCCUGGGGAGUACGGCCGCAAGGCUA
rnacentral:rRNA from 1 species